UACGGAGGUGGCAAGCGUUGUUCGGAAUUACUGGGCGUAAAGGGCGCGUAGGCGGCAAGGCAAGUCAGGUGUGAAAGCCCCGGGCUUAACUCGGGAAUUGCACCUGAAACUGCUGUGCUUGAGUUCUGGAGGGGGUAGUGGAAUUCCCAGUGUAGCGGUGAAAUGCGUAGAUAUUGGGAGGAACACCUGCGGCGAAGGCGGCUACCUGGACAGAAACUGACGCUGAGGCGCGAAAGCUAGGGGAGCGAACGGG
rnacentral:rRNA from 1 species